UAUGAACUUUCUCGGUAGCUGUGUUUGAACCUCGCUUGCAUCGUUCAAUAUGCUUGUGUUACAAUGUUUGGCUGCUGCGGGGAUGUAAUUGAUUGCGAAUAUCAACCAUGUUGCUGCUCUACUGACUACUGUUGUCAGAAUAGCCAGCUACAAACUACAGUAGCUAGCUAAGUAGAAUUAGUCUCGGGAGUAGACUAUUGUAUUUGUUUGUUCCCAGUGCCAGCUUUCAGGCAGAAUCUGUGUACGCUCCAUCACGGAGAAUCAUCCGUCGUUCAUACAAGGAAGAAUUAGCCUAUGCUAGGCUAGCGAUACAGGCCUAUACGUCGAUAUACAGUGAGUAGCAAUAUUGUCCUUGAUGACAUGAGCAAGGAGAUGGUGCUUAUCACGGUUAUUCUAGGCGGCCGUUAAAUUGUUCGUGCAGCAAUCUAUCGAUAGUCUCUAUCACUGCGUGUCGCGCAGCUCACUAGACCGCUGCAAGGCACACUAUCAGCAAUACAUUUUACGGCGUCAUCUGUUACAUUAGUUAUGCUGCGUUUAGAUGGUACGAGGCAGACGGUAAACCGAAUGUUAUUGUUUUCAACGAGCAAGACCGUAAAUGCCGUUGAGCCUGGCGGUGAAUGCCGGCUGACGACAUGGUUUACAAUUAGGGGUUCAACUGGAGUUCUUCUAAGAUCCUCUGAGAACCGUAGGGUUCUUGGCAAUGAAAGACAGCCCCAAAAGGUUAUUCAAAUAACUUCUUAGGAGGUGGGGUUCAUCGAGGAGCCGCCAUUGUUGUUGGAGUUCUUCCGGGAACUUUGCAACUGAAAACGCUCGUGUCAAGUCUGAAUGAGACAACAUUUAAAUAGAACAGAACAUGGACACAAUGCAAUUGGGAUUAAGAAGAAGAAAUUCUGAAGUAUCUGGAUGGUCAGUGGAGGAUGUCUGCCAGUGGCUUCAGCAAAAUCAGUUGGAGGACUACACCUCUCCUUUCCAAGGUUUACAGAGGAGGCGGCAUACAAAGGCCUCUACAUUAUGGAC